rnacentral:lncRNA from 1 species
AUUUCUCAACUGUGUGAUGGGUAAACGUGCAGGUUUGCUGUCAUGCUUUGUUUAUGAAGCUGUGGGGUACAAGGACUCUCAUACGUCACUGUGGAAUGCAGAACGUUGCAGCCUCAUGGAAGAGGAUUUGGCAGCAUCUAACAAAACGACAUGGCAUUUGCCCUUAGACUCAGCAAUUCUAGAAUCUGCCUCAAAAAAAACUCUGGCAAAGAAAUGAAAGGACUUUAUCCACAGAGUUCUUUUCACAGCCUGAAUGUGUUUGCCACAAAGUUCUUCACUGUGGCAUUUGUAAAACUGGAAACAAUCAAAAUGUCCAUCAGUAAGGGAUUAGGAACAUUAAUUCGUGCAGUGGGGAACUCCGUACCAGAAGGAGGAAUGAGGAACGCCUAUUGAUAAGGGGCAGAGUACAUAUAAUAUAAUGCAAAUAUAUAUUUGCUUUUUCUUAAAACAGUACAAAGAUAAAAAUCUAAAGUGGUUGCUGUGGAGGACAGGGGUCAGUGGUGGAAGUGAGACCGAAAUAGACUCUGAAGUAAUAUCUGGACUUUGAAAUUGCAGCUGCUCCCAACCCCAGAACCUUUGCUGUCUUGGGACGGAUCACCGCUGCAAGAGGGGAAGUUGCUACUGUGAUGAAUUCUGCCAUGUGGCACCAGACUGCCACCCAGACCACAGUGUCCUCUGCAACCCUGGUAACUCACAUACAGGCCCGAUUCCACCUACAGCAAAGCUGGAUGCGAUGGCUGGCAGAGGCAAACCCUUUGCCUGCACUUCAGGCCAAAGCCGGGAUGUGGCCUAGAUGGUUCCUAAGGUCCCUGACAAUCCUGAGAUCUUGCAUCUUGUCUAUUUCAGGUCAAAGGUGCCUACAUGCUCCUUCUAGCUUUGUUUCCCUGAUGUUCCUUGCCACCUGCUACUCCUCUCUGAGCUACUUUUCCAGGUUCCACAGGGAGAGGUUCAGCUGUCCGUGGUAGACAUGAGGGUAGAGAAUGAGGUGGUUGGGUUCCACUUACCUUUCUAUCAUCUUGCAGUAUGGAUGUCUCUUGACUGGUACCGUGUAGACUUUUGAGGGCACACAGGAGUCUGCAGAGAGAUACUGGGGACAUUGAGCAGCAGCAGUGGGGUUGGGAGGCAGAAAUGAGGACAGGAACAUUUACCUUGUGUUUCUCUCAGCUUCUCAGAUGACCAAGAUGGUGCUGCAGAUGGUGCUGAGGAUGGAGAACCCACCAAGCCCCGCUAGGAGCCACCUAGACUGGAUGCAGAGCAUGGUGAGCUCCCUGCAGGUUCUCUGAGAAGGGGUGGAUGGCAGCCUGCUCCUUGCCUUUGUGCCCUCCAGGCCCCAAAGUCAGGGAACCAAAAGAAGAAAGGGGCCGUAGCUAGGGCAGAGCUCCACUGCAAUGAUUGUUUUAGGGGUAGGAGCCAGGAUUGCCGUCUGUGGACACUGAAAUUUGAAUCUCAUAUACUUUUGUGACAAAACAUUCUUCCUCUUUUGUUCUUCUCCUACCAUCUAAAAAUGUAGAAAACAUUCUUAGCCUAUGAGUUGCACAAAAACAGGCAGUGGCCAGAUUUGGCCCAUAGACCAUAGUUUGCUGACUUCUGCCCUAAAUCAUCCUCCAUUUCUUUCCUUCUGUGUCCUUGUUACUGACAAAGCCACUUUCCCUAAAAUGGGGUCUUUCCCUGUUUGGUGCCAUGAAGCCAAUAUGCAAAACCGAAAGUGAGCCUCAAGCAGUGCAGGCUUUAUUUGGUGGCCAUGGAAUUGAGAAGUGAGAGCUUGGCUCACAAAUCAACUUUUCUGCUCGUGAGACCCAGGAAGUCACAGAUACAGGGCAUCUUUAGUGAAGGGGCUGAGCAUUAAAAGCAAGGGGAGGAGUGGCCAGGUGCAAUGGCUCACUCCCAUAAACCCAGAACUUUGGGAGGCCAAAAUGAGAGGAUUGCUGAGACCAGGAGUUCGAGACCAUCCUGGUCAACAUAGUGAUACACCCCCAUCUCUACAAAAAUAAAAAUGAAAAAAGCAAGGGGAGGAAUCAUGUGUUUUCUGGGUCUGGGUGGAGAAAUUUUCAAAACCAGAG